rnacentral:rRNA from 1 species
UACGGAGGGGGCUAGCGUUGUUCGGAAUUACUGGGCGUAAAGCGCACGUAGGCGGCUUUGUAAGUUAGAGGUGAAAGCCCAGGGCUUAACCCUGGAAUUGCCUUUAAGACUGCAUCGCUAGAAUCGUGGAGAGGUGAGUGGAAUUCCGAGUGUAGAGGUGAAAGUCGUAGAUAUUCGGAAGAACACCAGUGGCGAAGGCGACUCACUGGACACGUAUUGACGCUGAGGUGCGAAAGCGUGGGGAGCAAACAGG